AGACAAUAGCUUUCCUUUACAGUAGGCCUAACUUUAUCUCAAGAAAAGUUUUCCCCUUGUCGCCUGAGACGUAGGUCAAGGAGUGGAGGAGUGACACAAUUACGGUAGGUCUAACGUUACAACCUCUGUAUAGCUUGUUAGUGUACUGAUUCAUUAUCGCUUCAUAGUUAGCAGGAGACAUAAAUAUGAAGGGACAAUGAAUCAGUACACUGAUUUUCAUACUGACAAGAUUAAUAGGCUAUGCUCAGUUUAUUAAAUAGCCUUAGGUUGGACGUAGGCUAUUUAAUAAAUUUAGCGUAGCCUAUUCAUCUGUCAGUAUGAAACGCGACUUGCCCAUUCAUGAUCGGAAGAACGCGUAUCGACCACCGUUACUGUAAAAUAUGCACGUAUGUCCAUUUAAACUCGAUUUUGGUAAAAUGUGAACUAUACCAUCACACUGGCAAUAUUACGACUACAUUUAAAGACGACGUACCAAGUAUGACAACGCUACGUUCAACUGCUUUGAAAUUAGGGUGUUUUUUUCAUUUCCUGAAAAGUAACCGUUUUGGAUAUACGCGAGUUUCAUCGGACAGCGACGAUAUACAGCUUUUAACAGCUUUUCACAUGGCAUAGAAACACACUAACUCAUAACUAAUGCUGUUGCCUUAAGUAAAUGACCUAAAUGGUUCAUGGCAUGCUUUGGAGAAAAUGUGCUCAUUAUGUUUGUAUUCUCCAUAGGAUUCCAGAAGUUUGGCAUCUCCCUCAGCCAAUUGCCUAAUGCAAAGCUCUUUGAUGACUCCAAAACUGAGGUUGACCAUGAGGUGUUUGAAGAAGUGAUCGGUGCAAAUACUGGUGUUUAUGAGCUAUCCAUUGAUGGUGUCUCUGAAGGUUUUGUUUCUGAGGCACCAGCUGUUGGCCAGUCGACACCAGCUGUCGACACCAGCUGUAAGUCAAGAGGACCCUGAUACUGACUCUGUCAUUCUGAGCGAUGAAAGUCCCCAGGGGAAACGGUCCAGACCAAAUAGGUCUGAUGCCCAUGCUUUGGUUGACGAAAUACUUCGCAAGAAACCUGGUGGUGAUAAUGUCAUUAGGGAGUAUGACAGAACAAAAAAUGUUAUCAGACAGUACACGGCGGAAAACGGUGAACAUUCUAGUAGCUGAAAUGAUGGAGAAGCAUGGAAAAAUGCCACCACGCCAUAUAAGAGAAAUGCAUGCACAGGGAAUUAUUGAGCUCUUUCCAUACCUGAGGGAUCCCCAAGCCAAACAUGGCUAUGUAAGUUGUUUGACAUUUGUGCACCCCCAACACACAAACUCGUCCAUACAUAUUACUCACUUGUUGACCCUUCAUCUUUUUGCAGCU